GGGGCUGGGGCUCAGCGGUAGAGCACUCGCCUAGUGUGUGUGAGGCACUGGGUUCAAUCCUUAGUCUCA
rnacentral:tRNA from 1 species